rnacentral:rRNA from 1 species
AGAGUUUGAUCAUGGCUCAGAACAAACGCUGGCGGCGUGCCUAACACAUGCAAGUCGAACGAGAAAGUCCGCUUCGGCGGAUGAGUAAAGUGGCGCACGGGUGAGUAACGCGUGGAUAAUCUGCCCUUUAGUUAGGAAUAACCCAUCGAAAGAUGGAUUAAUACCAAAUGAUACUGAUUUGUAAAAGCUUAUCAGUCAAAGGUGGCCUCUGUUUACAUGCUAUCGCUAAGGGAUGAGUCCGCGUACUAUUAGCUUGUUGGUAGGGUAAAGGCCUACCAAGGCGAUGAUGGUUAGCUGGUCUGAGAGGAUGAUCAGCCACACUGGAACUGAGACACGGUCCAGACUCCUACGGGAGGCAGCAGUGAGGAAUCUUGCGCAAUGGGGGAAACCCUGACGCAGCGACGCCGCGUGAGUGAGGAAGGCCUUCGGGUCGUAAGGCUCUGUCAGGUGGGAAGAAAUGUUUGGUGGCUAAUACCCGCCAUGCUUGACGGUACCACUAGAGGAAGCACCGGCUAACU